rnacentral:rRNA from 1 species
AUUGAACGCUGGCGGCAGGCCUAACACAUGCAAGUCGAACGAGUGGCGGACGGGUGAGUAAUGUCUGGGACACUGCCUGAUGGAGGGGGAUAAAUACUGGAAACGGUCUCUAAUACCACAUACCAUCAGAUGUGCCCAGAUGGGAUUCGCUAGUUGGUGGGGUAACGGCUCACCAAGGCGACGACCCCUAGCUGGUCUGAGAGGAUGACCAGCCACACUGGAACUGAGACACGGUCCAGACUCCUACGGGAGGCAGCAGUGGGGAAUAUUGCACAAUGGGCGCAAGCCUGAUGCAGCCAUGCCGCGUGUAUGAAGAAGGCCGUCGGGUUGUAAAGUACUUUCAGCGGGGAGGCGUUACCCGCAGAAGAAGCACCGGCUAACUCCGUGCCAGCCGCCGCGGUAAUAC